UCAUCGUGAUAUGGCUCCGCAGCCUUCAGGCCUCCCUGAAAACCGUGAAAAUUUGCAGGAAACCUGUAUCGUACACAAAUUUCUUGUGUAUAGUGUGUGACAAACGCGUUCCCAGUGGAUCAUUUGUGUAUUACCAUUGUGAUAACUGGUGUGUAGUGUGGGGGCGGUGCCGUCGGGGGCAUGCGCCGGCGUCGGUAAGGGAUGAGCGCGGCGCGCGCGCCCGAUCCACCGCGCCACUCGCAACGCACCCACCCACAGGGCGGGAGCGGAGGCGAGAGGCGCGCGGGGCGGAGCAAGCGUCCUUCCGGCUCGUCAGGGUCCGGUUCGCUCGGACGAGGCGCACUCUCCGAUCCGGAUAUUCAGAGCCGACUCCAGCCGAACCUCAGCGCUUAUUGGGAAUCGUCGCCUACAUUGACGCUAAUAUCGUCAAAGGGCUCCGCGGAGUCGAAUUGUUCGCAGCCGUCGUCGGAGCUGUCGCUGGACGAUGACAAGGAGGCGCUGCGCAGAGAAAAGGAAGCGCAGGCUCUCUCACAGCUGGAUAAGGCGAGGUCAAAGCCGGUCGCGUUCGCCGUCCGCACGAACGUCGCUUACGACGCGAAGAUCGACGACGACUCGCCCGUGCACGGCACCGCCAUCUCCUUCGACGUUCGAGACUUCCUGCACAUUAAGGAGAAGUACGACAACAACUGGUGGAUCGGUCGGCUCGUGGCGGAGAACUCUGACAUAGGGUUCAUCCCGUCCCCCGUGAAGCUGGAGAUGGUGCGCGCGGGGCUGGCCGCCAGGGGCCGCUCCGCGCUCGCCGCCCACCCCCACUCCCGAGGUAGCACUCCCCCCACGCCCGAUGUACCCUCCUUCGAUCGAGGUGACGAAUCCGACUCGGCGGGCAGGGGGCGCGGGGCGGGCGCGCUGCCCGCUGGCAAGGAAAAGAAGAAGCCAUUCUUCAAGAAGCAGGAGGCCUGCACUCCGUACGACGUGGUGCCCUCGAUGAGGCCGGUCGUCCUCGUGGGGCCCUCGCUCAAAGGAUACGAAGUCACGGACAUGAUGCAGAAGGCGCUUUUUGAUUUCUUAAAAAGGCGCUUCGAAGGACGGAUCAUCAUAACCAGGGUCUCGGCGGACAUCUCGCUGGCCAAGCGCUCGCUGCUCGCCAACCAGCCCAGGAAACCCUUCGUCGAGAGGGGGAACUCCAGGAACAACUGCCUGGCCGAGGUUCAGGUCGGGACCACCAGCUCCGCCUUGUGUGCUGAAAUCGAGAGGAUAUUCGACCUAGCGCGGACCCUGCAGCUGGUGGUGCUGGACUGCGACACCAUCAACCACCCGUCGCAACUGGCCAAGACCUCACUAGCGCCCACUAUCGUCUACUUAAAGAUCACCAGCCCCAAGGUGCUGCAGCGAUUGAUCAAGUCCCGGGGCAAGGGCCAGACCAAGAACCUGUCCGUGCAAAUGGUGGCGGCCGAGAAGCUGUCGCAGUGUCCCAAGGAGAUGUUCGACCUCGUGCUGGACGAAAACCAGCUGGAGGACGCCUGCGACCGCAUCGCAGAGCAUCUGGAGAAGUACUGGCGCGCCACGCACCCCCCAGCCGCCGCCCCGCUGGCGCCGCCCGCCGCCCCCCGCGCGCACCUCGCCCCCCUGCCCCACCUCGCGCACCUCGCGCACGCCCAGCCCGUACAAGCGUCUGGUCAAGCUCAUUAACCAUCGCCCCGGGGACCUUAGAUCCUUCUCAUAAGUCAGGGACGCCGGCAGAUACCACAGGUUUAACAUUACUGGCCGCGCAUUGCAGAGGCUUGUGGAAUGUACGCUUAUACUAACUAACCUUGACCCCUCUUACAUCCGCCUGUCAGGGCCGCACUUUGGUUGUAAUGGAAUGGAAAUGUUUUAUUAACUUUUUUGAGUCUCAUUGACAUUGUUUGAUGCCUCAAUCCUCACAAUGAGAGGACUUAAUAUUUGUUUCGACUGUCGCACUUCCAUUUUUUCUUUAACAUCAAUCUAAACUAGUUCUAAUUGCCAUUCGCCAAGAUCGUUUUCACAAGUCAGACGGGCUUCAGACGCGGUCUGACGUAGAAGUUUUCCACAGGAGUGCGCUCCCCUCCCCCCUCGGCGGAGGUGGUCCUUCCUUGUCCGGGGAUAAUCCGCAACUCCGGGGAGGUCACGUUGCAGUAGUCAACUACUGUGUUAUAGGUCUAAGUGACAGUAAGUUAGGUUGUCCCCCUGUUUCACCCUUACCCUGCGUGUGUGACAAUUUUGAUUGACUAGUUUGGUUUUUGUCAAUGAUUUUGAUUGGUUUUCGUUUUAGAGUGUUUUUACAAUUCGACCUGGACAUGUUCAAACUCGCAUAUGUAUUAAUUUUUUUGUUAAACAAGUAAAUAUCGUCACUAUUUAAAUUCUAAAUAUUCUUGGCAUAAGUAUGUUUGAACAGAUCCAAGUGAGAAAUGUAUUAUGCAUAUCGAAGUGUAGAGUUGUGAGUAGUGCGGGUGUCGCAGGCGGGCGAGCCCGCGGGCCGCGCCCCGAGCGGCUGGAGGAGGAGUACUACGGGCGGGAGCGGUACGCGCGCGAGUACGAGUACGGACACGACUACACGCGCCGCGACCCCGACGCCGACGAGUACGGGCCCUCGCGCCGAGCG